CCCCCCAUCUUUAUUUAUGUAGUGUUGUUUAAUAAGGGACCCUAAACAGAGGAUAUCCAUUUCUGAGCUCCUGGCACAUCCAUAUGUUCAAAUUCAAACUCAACCAGGUAAUCAAAUGGCUAAAGGAGCCACUGAUGAAAUGAAAUAUGUUCUAGGCCAACUUGUUGGUCUGAAUUCUCCUAACUCCAUUUUGAAAGCUGCUAAAACUUUAUAUGAGCGCUAUAGUAGUGGAGAAAGUCAUGAUUUUUCAUCAUCCAAGACUUC
rnacentral:lncRNA from 1 species